rnacentral:rRNA from 1 species
AGUGAACGCUGGCGGUAGGCCUAACACAUGCAAGUCGAACGGCAGCACAGUAAGAGCUUGCUCUUACGGGUGGCGAGUGGCGGACGGGUGAGGAAUACAUCGGAAUCUACUUUUUCGUGGGGGAUAACGUAGGGAAACUUACGCUAAUACCGCAUACGACCUACGGGUGAAAGCAGGGGAUCUUCGGACCUUGCGCGAUUGAAUGAGCCGAUGUCGGAUUAGCUAGUUGGCGGGGUAAAGGCCCACCAAGGCGACGAUCCGUAGCUGGUCUGAGAGGAUGAUCAGCCACACUGGAACUGAGGCACGGUCCAGACUCCUACGGGAGGAAGCAGUGGGGAAUAUUGGACAAUGGGCGCAAGCCUGAUCCAGCCAUACCGCGUGGGUGAAGAAGGCCUUCGGGUUGUAAAGCCCUUUUGUUGGGAAAGAAAAGCAGCAGGUUAAUACCCCGCUGUUCUGACGGUACCCAAAGAAUAAGCACCGGCUAACUUCGUG